UACGUAGGCAGCGAGCGUUGUUCGGAAUUACUGGGCGUAAAGGGCUCGUAGGUGGCCAACUAAGUCAGACGUGAAAUCCCUCAGCUUAACUGGGGAACUGCGUCUGAUACUGGAUGGCUUGAGUUUGGGAGAGGGAUGCGGAAUUCCAGGUGUAGCGGUGAAAUGCGUAGAUAUCUGGAGGAACACCGGUGGCGAAGGCGGCAUCCUGGACCAACACUGACACUGAGGAGCGAAAGCCAGGGGAGCAAACGGG
rnacentral:rRNA from 1 species